rnacentral:rRNA from 1 species
ACGGGUGAGUAAUGCCUAGGAAUCUGCCUGGUAGUGGGGGACAACGUUUCGAAAGGAACGCUAAUACCGCAUACGUCCUACGGGAGAAAGCAGGGGACCUUCGGGCCUUGCGCUAUCAGAUGAGCCUAGGUCGGAUUAGCUAGUUGGUGAGGUAAUGGCUCACCAAGGCGACGAUCCGUAACUGGUCUGAGAGGAUGAUCAGUCACACUGGAACUGAGACACGGUCCAGACUCCUACGGGAGGCAGCAGUGGGGAAUAUUGGACAAUGGGCGAAAGCCUGAUCAGCCAUGCCGCGUGUGUGAAGAAGGUCUUCGGAUUGUAAAGCACUUUAAGUUGGGAGGAAGGGUUGUAGAUUAAUACUCUGCAAUUUUGACGUUACCGACAGAAUAAGCACCGGCUAACUCUGUGCCAGCAGCCGCGGUAAUACAGAGGGUGCAAGCGUUAAUCGGAAUUACUGGGCGUAAAGCGCGCGUAGGUGGUUCGUUAAGUUGGAUGUGAAAUCCCCGGGCUCAACCUGGGAACUGCAUCCAAAACUGGCGAGCUAGAGUAUGGUAGAGGGUGGUGGAAUUUCCUGUGUAGCGGUG